GUUUCAGAACCACUGAUUCAAAGUUCGUUUAAUAUAAAUAAUCUCACCGGAACAUAAACACCAUGUGUGUCAGCGAGGCGGGAGCGGCUUUAUUUCCCCUGGUGGAGGGACAGUGGGCAGCGAACCCAGAGAGGAACAGAGCGAUGCAACCUUCAAAGAGCCGCGGCUACAAGAGCUGCUGUCGGGUUCAUGGCGCCCGUAAGAGGCUGAUGUGCUGGAUUCCUCCGCGUCUCUCGGCGGGCAGCAGAGUGCUCUGCUGCGCACAUUAAUGUGUUUAAUUCAGCCUUUCACCUCCUCUCUUCUCUCUGAAUGGGCCUUAAAAGCAAGGAUGAGAGCAUAAACGCUGCUCACCGCUGCAGUUCUUACGUAAACCGCGUUGUGAGGUCACAUGGAUUCAUUACUUCGCUGAACGUUUAAGUACAUAAACGGUUUGUUGAUUA